rnacentral:rRNA from 1 species
AACGAACGCUGGCGGCAUGCCUAACACAUGCAAGUCGAACGAGACCUUCGGGUCUAGUGGCGCACGGGUGCGUAACGCGUGGGAAUCUGCCCUUUGCUUCGGAAUAACAGUUAGAAAUGACUGCUAAUACCGGAUGAUGUCUUCGGACCAAAGAUUUAUCGGCAAAGGAUGAGCCCGCGUAGGAUUAGGUAGUUGGUGGGGUAAAAGGCCUACCAAGCCGACGAUCCUUAGCUGGUCUGAGAGGAUGAUCAGCCACACUGGGACUGAGACACGGCCCAGACUCCUACGGAGGCAGCAGUGGGAAUAUUGGGACAAUGGGCGAAAGCCUGAUCCAGCAAUGCCGCGUGAGUGAUGAAGGCCUCGGUUGUAAG